GCGCCCGCUGAGAACGGUGACCCGGCGUGACCUACGUGCUGCUCGCCGAAACUCGGCUGCAAAAGGGUCUAAUUCCUACCGCCCGCCUGCUCCCUCCUAAGGAGUAGGCCCCAGGUUCGAAUCCUGGUCGGGGCA
rnacentral:tRNA from 1 species